rnacentral:rRNA from 1 species
GAUGAACGCUGGCGGCGUGCUUAACACAUGCAAGUCGAACGGAAGGACCCUGCGUUUGUGUCUUUCUCGAUUGGCGAACGGGUGAGUAACACGUGAGUAACCUCCCCUUGUCUUUGUGAGAACUUCAGGAAACUGGGGCGAAUACCGGGGAGGAGCUCCUGCUGCGUGGGGGUGGUUGGAAAAUGUCGGCGGUGGGAUAUGGACUCGCGGGUUAUCAGCUUGUUUGUGGGGUAGUGGCUUUCCAAGUCUUUGACGGGUAGCCUGCCUGGGAGGGUGAACGGCCACCUGGGGCCUGCGAGACGGCCCAGUAGCCAACGGGAGGCAGUAGUCGGGAGUAUUGCACAACGGCGGGACGCCUGAUGCAGCAACGUCGCGUGCGGGAUGACGGCUUUCGAGUUGUAAACAGAUUUCGAAUGUGCCGAAGAGUGCGUGACGGUAAUGGGUAAGGAAGCCACGGCUAACUACGUG